GUAAUUCCAGCUCCAAUAGCGUAUAUUAACGUUGUUGCAGUUAAAAAGCUCGUAGUUGAAAUGAAGGGUAGUUGUGUAAUGAAUACAUUCGUGUAUUUUGUUAUUCUACUACCCUCCUUCUAAAUUCGAUAUAUGAGUAUUAAUUUACUUGUAUAUGGUUUUAGACGUUUACUGUGAGAAAAUUAGAGUGUUCAAAGCAGGCAUUUGCUUGAAUAUAUUAGCAUGGAAUAAUCAUGUAUGAUUUUCAUGAUGUAUUUGAUUGGUUUGGUUCAUGAGAAUAAGAUUAAAAGGGACAGUUGGGGGUAUUCAUAUUCAAUAGUCAGAGGUGAAAUUCUCGGAUUUAUGGAAGAUGAACAAGUGCG
rnacentral:rRNA from 1 species